rnacentral:rRNA from 1 species
AAAAGUCUCUAUCGAGGUUAAAGGUACCCGUACCGCAAACCGACACAGGUGGGUGAGGAGAGUAUCCUAAGGCCAGCGAGAGAACUGUUGUUAAGGAACUCGGCAAAAUGACCCCGUAACUUAGGGAUAAGGGGUGCCACCAUCAGGUGGCCGCAGAGAAUAGGCCCAAGCGACUGUUUACCAAAAACAUAGGUUUCUGCUAAGUCGCAAGACGAUGUAUAGGAGCUGACGCCUGCCCGGUGCUGGAAGGUUAAGGGGAGCUGUUAGAGCAAUCGAAGCAGUGAACUUAAGCCCCAGUAAACGGCGGCCGUAACUAUAACGGUCCUAAGGUAGCGAAAUUCCUUGUCGGGUAAGUUCCGACCCGCACGAAAGGCGUAACGAUUUGGGCACUGUCUCAACAACAGACUCGGUGAAAUUGUAAUUCCGGUGAAGAUGCCGGAUACCUGCGACAGGACGGAAAGACCCCAUGGAGCUUUACUGUAGCUUGACAUUGGGUCUUGGUACUACAUGUACAGGAUAGGUGGGAGGCUUUGAAACCAGGACGCCAGUUUUGGCGGAGCCAUCCUUGGGAUACCACCCUUGUAGUACUGGGACUCUAACCAUAGGCCAUGAAUCUGGUCUUGGGACACUGUCAGGUGGGCAGUUUGACUGGGGCGGUCGCCUCCCAAAAGG